rnacentral:rRNA from 1 species
GACGAACGCUGGCGGCGUGCUUAACACAUGCAAGUCGAACGGAAAGGCCCUGCUUGCAGGGUACUCGAGUGGCGAACGGGUGAGUAACACGUGGGAGAUCUGCCCUGCACUUCGGGAUAAGCCUGGGAAACUGGGUCUAAUACCGGAAAGGAGCCAGUGUGAGUGUGAUGGUUGGAAAGUUUUUUCGGUGUAGGAUGAGCUCGCGGCCUAUCAGCUUGUUGGUGGGGUAAUGGCCUACCAAGGCGGCGAUGGGUAGCCGGACUGAGAGGGUGGACGGCCACAUUGGGACUGAGGUACGGCCCAGACGCCUACGGGAGGCAGCAGGGGGGAAUAUUGCACAAUGGGCGCAAGCCUGAUGCAGCGACGCCGCGUGGGGGAUGACGGCCUUCGGGUUGUAAACUCCUUUCGCUAGGGACGAAGCUUUUUGUGACGGUACCUAGAGAAGAAGCACCGGCUAACUACGUG